rnacentral:rRNA from 1 species
GACAACGCUGGCGGCGCGCUUAACACAUGCAAGUCGUGCGGUACCGAUGGCAAGUCUUCUUGACGAGCCUUCGGUAUAGCGGCGGACGGGUGAGCAACACGUGAGUAGCUGUCCUAGGGAGGGGGAUAACGCCUGGAAACGGGUGCUAAAACCCCAUAAGCCUCGGAAAGAGGUAAAAGUGCAUCACUGCAGUCCUAGGGUGUGCUCGCGGCCUAUCAGCUAGUUGGUGAGGUAAGGGCUCACCAAGGCCAAGACGGGUAGCCGGCCUGAGAGGGUGUACGGCCACACUGGAAUUGAGAUACGGUCCAGACUCCUACGGGAGGCAGCAGUGGGGAAUUUUGGGCAAUGGGCGAAAGCCUGACCCAGCGACGCCGCGUUGGGGAUGAAGUCCUUCGGGGCGUAAACCCAUGUUGUAGGGGAAGAAGAAAGUGACGGUACCCUACGAGAAAGCCCCGGCCAACUACGUG